AAGCUAGAAGAUGACGAGCUUGUCUCCUACAUCUUGACUAGCCUCGAUCUUGACAAUGACUCGGUGGUGUCCGCCGUUGCUGCCCAAGUCGAACCAAUCUUUGUUGGGGAGUUGUUCACCCAACUGACCAGCUUCGAGC
rnacentral:snoRNA from 1 species